UACGUAGGGUGCGAGCGUUGUCCGGAAUUAUUGGGCGUAAAGAGCUCGUAGGCGGUGUGUCACGUCGGCCGUGAAAACCUGCAGCUUAACUGUGGGCGUGCGGUCGAUACGGGCAUCACUGGAGUUCGGCAGGGGAGACUGGAAUUCCCGGUGUAGCGGUGAAAUGCGCAGAUAUCGGGAGGAACACCGGUGGCGAAGGCGGGUCUCUGGGCAGUAACUGACGCUGAGGAGCGAAAGCGUGGGGAGCGAACAGG
rnacentral:rRNA from 1 species